rnacentral:rRNA from 1 species
GCUAAUUCGCUGACGAGCGGCGGACGGGUGAGUAAUGCCUGGGAAUAUGCCUUAGUGUGGGGGAUAACUAUUGGAAACGAUAGCUAAUACCGCAUAACGUCUUCGGACCAAAGAGGGGGACCUUCGGGCCUCUCGCGCUAAGAUUAGCCCAGGUGGGAUUAGCUAGUUGGUGAGGUAAAGGCUCACCAAGGCAACGAUCCCUAGCUGGUCUGAGAGGAUGAUCAGCCACACUGGAACUGAGACACGGUCCAGACUCCUACGGGAGGCAGCAGUGGGGAAUAUUGCACAAUGGGGGAAACCCUGAUGCAGCCAUGCCGCGUGUAUGAAGAAGGCCUUCGGGUUGUAAAGUACUUUCAGUCGUGAGGAAGGGUAUGUAGUUAAUAGCUGCAUGCCUUGACGUUAGCGACAGAAGAAGCACCGGCUAACUCCGUGCCAGCAGCCGCGGUAAUACGGAGGGUGCGAGCGUUAAUCGGAAUUACUGGGCGUAAAGCGCAUGCAGGCGGUCUGUUAAGCAAGAUGUGAAAGCCCGGGGCUCAACCUCGGAACCGCAUUUUGAACUGGCAGACUAGAGUCUUGUAGAGGGGGGUAGAAUUUCAGGUGUAGCGGUGAAAUGCGUAGAGAUCUGAAGGAA